rnacentral:tRNA from 1 species
GCGUUUAUACCCAAGUGGUUUAAGGGAAUGGCUAAGUCAUAGGGCAAAAAUAUUUGCCGCGAGGGUUCGACUCCCUCUAAUCGCGCCA